rnacentral:sRNA from 1 species
GCUGACUUAGUGGCUGCAACCCGAAGCUUCAGACUACAGGAGGGGUUCCCUACCACGGCGGGAUUCUUUCCUUGACUGCAGGACACCCAGAGAAGGGAAACCUGAGCAGGACCUGGAGGUCAACCUGAGAUGAAGUCCGGGGUAACCAAGGCAGCUCCAGUUCAAAGGACAGUACAGAGAAAAGAGAAACCCAGAGAUGGGCAGUGGCUCCUCUUCCUCACGCAUCCACGGAACACGUGACAGCACGUGACACAAAGCUGCACUGUCCAGGCCAUCCGCAUUGAGGCCUUACAGGGGUAAAAGGAAGUGUCUUUGAAUAUGCCUCCAAUCCCACGGGAGAUCUGAACCAGUGGUCAUCUGUUCUCUGGCUGCUAGGCAAGAGGUUAGUGCCCUGAGGAUAAGACGUGAAGAACACUGAAUGGGCUAGCUCAAGGCCAGCUAUGAUCCAGAUGAGCCUGCUCAAGGACCCCAAAAUAGAUUUAAGAGCUACUAGGUUUCGAAAGCUUAUGCCAUUCCCAGUGAACCGUGUCUCAUGAAGGUGUCAGCUCUCAGCUACAGCCCCAGCACCAUGCCUGCCUGCCGUCGUGCUCCCACCAUGAUGGUCAUGGACUUUCCCUUUCUUAUCUAAGUUGUCUUGCUUGGUCUCAGUGCUUUGUCACAGCAGUAGAAAAGUAAGGCAGACUACUUGCAUUUAUUUUUAUCAUCAAAAUUUUUGUUUUACUAUAAAGUGUCCAUGCUUCAAUUAAUGUCUAUAUGUUUUGUAGGUAGUAUACUUAAAGACCUUCCUGAGGUUUCUUUUUUUUUUUCUUUUCCAGAUAAUUCACUGUUAGUCUCUACCAAAGCUAUCAAUUUUUCUAUAUUGACUUUCUAACCUUUCUUUAACAGAAUACUUGGGGGUGUCUUAUCUAGAGCAUACUUGUCAUCUUCCAAUAGUAAGAAUUUUACUUCUCCUUUUUCUUUCUUUCUUUCUUUCUUUUUUUUUUUUU